GUGGGGAAUAUUGGACAAUGGGCGAAAGCCUGAUCCAGCCAUGCCGCGUGUGUGAAGAAGGUCUUCGGAUUGUAAAGCACUUUAAGUUGGGAGGAAGGGCAGUAAGUUAAUACCUUGCUGUUUUGACGUUACCGACAGAAUAAGCACCGGCUAACUUCGUGCCAGCAGCCGCGGUAAUUCGAAGGGUGCAAGCGUUAAUCGGAAUUACUGGGCGUAAAGCGCGCGUAGGUGGUUCAGCAAGUUGGAGGUGAAAUCCCCGGGCUCAACCUGGGAACUGCCUCCAAAACUACUGGGCUAGAGUACGGUAGAGGGUAGUGGAAUUUCCUGUGUAGCGGUGAAAUGCGUAGAUAUAGGAAGGAACACCAGUGGCGAAGGCGACUACCUGGACUGAUACUGACACUGAGGUGCGAAAGCGUGGGGAGCAAACAGGAUUAGAUACCCCGGUAGUCC
rnacentral:rRNA from 1 species